CAAAGCUUCUGGCCAGCCCCAGGUGGCAGUGGCACCUCGCAGUGGGGCUGGAGACUCCAAAGGCUGCUUUUGUGGGGCAGGGGCUGGGCGGCUGCUGAGCCUAACGGGUGACAGCUGCAGGAGGGCCUUGUGAGACUUUGAGCUGCAUUCCCUGGAAAAUCCCUCCAGAAAUGGAGAUGGAAUAGACAGUUUUCUGGCAGCUCCCUGCUGUGAGCGUGGAAGGUGCUGGGGCAGAAGCAGCGCCCGCAGUGGGGGCACAGGGGACACCCCACAGCCCCUCUGUCCCCGCAGCCCCAAAGCGUGCAGGUGGCACAGGAAGGAGCCGGGGCUCGCCCGCCCGCCCGCAGCGAACCCCACGGCGCCGAGGGGCUGAGCGAGAGCCUCCGACUUCCUCCUGGCCCAGGCGAGCGCAGCAGCCGCAGGCGAUGUGUCCCGGCCGGCGCUGCUGGGGCCUCGGCUCCCUCCUGCUGCUGCUGCUGCUGCUCGGGCGAAACCUGGGCUUCCUCGUGGAAAUCCCGCAGGAUGCAGUCACUGGCACCGUGGGGCAGUCCGUGCUCCUGCCCGUCUCCUACAGAUGCAACAGCACCUCUUGCUUCCCGGUGGCAAUUAAUUGGAUGUUUGGUCACACCUCACAAAGAACCAUCUCCUGCACCGUGCACAACUGCUCCCUGGAUGAUGGGGGGGCUCCCAAGAACUGCUCCACAAACUGUUUCCCCCAUCCUGCACAUUGGGGCCGUGUUGAGCUCUUCCCCGAGAACGCAUCCCUGCUGCUGUGGGACCUGCGGCUCAGUGACAACGGGGUGUACACCGUCAGCUUUCAACAGCACCAAAGACAAAUCAGGAACAUCACCCUGACCGUGCUCCAGCAGCCUGUCACCCCAGACCAUUCCAGUGAAGGGCGAAACCUGGGCUUCCUCCUGGAAAUCCCGCAGGAUGCAGUCACUGGCACCGUGGGGCAGUCCGUGCUCCUGCCCGUCUCCUACAGAUGCAACAGCACCUCUUGUUUCCCGGUGGCAAUUCAGUGGCUGUUUAGUCACCCCUUAGAAAUAAUCAUUGCCUGCUCAGUGCAGAACUGCUCCCUGGGUGAUGGGGGGGCUCCCAAGAAUUGCUCCACAAACUGUUACUCCUAUCGUACACACUGGGGCCGUGUUGAGCUCUUCCCCGAGAACGCAUCCCUGCUGCUGCGGGACCUGCGGCUCAGUGACAGCGGGGUGUACACCGUCAGCUUCUUACGGAAAAGACAAAUCAGGAAGAUCACCCUGACCGUGCUCGAGCAGCCUGUCCCCACAGAUCCUACCAGCAAAGGCACUUCUCAAACAGCAGGAAGAAUAGCCACACGUAUCCCUUGCUGCAUCCUCGGAGGCUGCUACUGCUUCAUCCUGCUGCUCCUGCAGCUGCUCUUCCACCUGUGCUGGCUGCGGGGCAGCCCUGGGGAAGCCUGCGGCUGCUGCUGGGGAGAAGGGAGCCAGCGUGCGGGAGCAGCCAGGGCCGGGGCACAAUGAAGUGCCCAGAGUGGGGGCACAGGGGACACCCCACAGCCCCCUCUGUCCCCGCAGCCCCAAAGCGUGCAGGUGGCACAGGAAGGAGCCGGGGCUCGCCCGCCCGCCCGCAGCGAACCCCACGGCGCCGAGGGGCUGAGCGAGAGCCUCCGACUUCCUCCUGGCCCAGGCGAGCGCAGCAGCCGCAGGCGAUGUGUCCCGGCCGGCGCUGCUGGGGCCUCGGCUCCCUCCUGCUGCUGCUGCUGCUGCUCGGUGAGCUGGGGACGGGGCCACUGCGGCUGGAGAAGCCAGCG
rnacentral:lncRNA from 1 species